CGCGCAGGCGGUUAUGCAAGCUUGGUGUGAAAGACCGCAGCUCAACUGCGGGAACGCGCUGGGAACUGCAUGACUAGAGUUCAAGAGGGGAAGCUGGAAUUCCUGGUGUAGGGGUGAAAUCUGUAGAGAUCAGGAAGAACAUCAGUGGCGAAGGCGAGCUUCUGGCUAUGAACUGACGCUGAGGCGCGAAAGCGUGGGUAGCGAACAGGAUUAGAUACCCUGGUAGUCC
rnacentral:rRNA from 1 species